rnacentral:rRNA from 1 species
UGGGGAAUCUUGCGCAAUGGGCGAAAGCCUGACGCAGCAACGCCGCGUGAGCGAAGAAGGCCUUCGGGUUGUAAAGCUCUGUCAGGAGGGACGAAGCCACUCGGGUGAACAGCCCAGAGGGUGACGGUACCUCCAGAGGAGGCCCCGGCUAACUACGUGCCAGCAGCCGCGGUAAUACGAAGGGGGCGAGCGUUGUCCGGAAUCAUUGGGCGUAAGGCGCGUGUAGGCGGCUUGGCAAGGCUGGUGUGAAAGCUCGAGGCUCAACCGCGAGUCGGCACCGGAAACUGCCUUGCUAGAGUCCGGAAGAGGAGACUGGAAUUCCUGGUGUAGCGGUGAAAUGCGCAGAUAUCAGGAAGAACACCGGUGGCGAAGGCGGGUCUCUGGGACGGUACUGACGCUGAGACGCGAAAGCGUGGGGAGCAAACA